AGUCUCUCGGUAGCAGACGGGUUCCAGUUGCAUAAAACCUCUAUUUCUUGAGGUUUCUUAUUAUUUAUUAACAAAAUAACUGGGCUAUUUGGCCCUUUUUUU
rfam:Serratia symbiotica str. &apos;Cinara cedri&apos;, complete genome.